rnacentral:rRNA from 1 species
AUUGAACGCUGGCGGCAGGCCUAACACAUGCAAGUCGAGCGGAGCGGCGGACGGGGGAGUAAUACCUAGGAAUCUGCCUGUUAGUGGGGGAGAAGGUCAGGAACCGGGCGCUAAUACUGCAUACUAUCAGAUGAGCCUAGGUCGGAGUAGCUAUUGGGUGGGGUAAAGGCCUACCAAGGCGACGAUCCGUAGCUGGUCUGAGAGGAUGAUCAGUCACACUGGAACUGAGACACGGUCCAGACUCCUACGGGAGGCAGCAGUGGGGAAUAUUGGACAAUGGGCGAAAGCCUGAUCCAGCCAUGCCGCGUGUGUGAAGAAGGUCUUCGGGUUGUAAAGCACUUUAAGUUGGGAGGCGUUACCAACAGAAUAAGCACCGGCUAACUUCGUGCCAGCCGCCGCGGUAAUUC